rnacentral:rRNA from 1 species
GGAUUGACACAUCGGUCGUGCCUUAAGGGGUAUGAACUGGUGUAGUCAGUUUCUCACCUUCUGGAGAACCGCGAUGUCCUUAAUUGGGUGCCGCGAGGAACCAGGACCUUUACUUUGAAAAAAUUAGAGUGUUUAAAGCAGACUAUCGUCUGAAUACAUUAGCAUGGAAUAAUGAAAUAGGACGGACUGAUUCUAUUUCGUUGGUUUCUAGGAUCACCGUA